rnacentral:lncRNA from 10 species
UAACUGUGAUACUUAAUUUUGUGUGUUGACUCGAUUGGGUUGUAGGCUGCCGAGAUAUUUGGUUAAACAUCUGGAUGUUUCUGUGAGGCUGUUUCUGGAUGAGAUUAACAUUUGAAUAAGCAGACACAGUUAGGCACGUUCCCUUCCCCAAUGCACGUGGGCCUCUUACAAUCCAUUGAAGGCCUGAAUACAAUAAAAGACUGAAUAAUAAAAAAUUAUUUGUCCAUCUGGCUGUCUUUGAUCUGGGAUAUUAGUCUUCUCCUGCUUUCUUGCCAAAUACAAGUUUCUGGGUUUAAUAUUGUGAACAAUAGAAUACAAAAUAUUCUGCUUUCAGGGCAAUUGCUUUUAUUUAUUAUCAUUAUUAUUAUUAAUACGGAGUUAUUAACAUCAUUAAAGUUUAUUUCUCACUCAUGCAAAGUGCAAUGUGGAUGUUCUUGGUCAGACAAUCUACAGGACAUCUCUAUCCAUCCAGGACAUCCAGGACAUUCUGAUUCAUCCUUCAAGGGGUGAAUAGGGAAGGAGAUACUUUCCAUGUAUUGGUUCUGGGACCACUUUGGCUCUUGCCAUCCUCCACUGAGUCUUUUGCCUCCUGCUACUAAAAAAUAAGUAUAAGAAGAAUGUGUAUGAUAUCAUAGUGCCAGAACUGGAAGUGCACUAUAUAACUUCCGCCCAUAUUCUACUUGCCACGUGGUCCCAGCCAGCUGAUAGGGGACUAACAAAAUGGAGUCUUUUAUGUGCCAGGGGGAAAAAUGAAACAGUCCAAUCAAAUUAUAGCAUUGCAUCUAUCAUAAAAGU